GACGAACGCUGGCGGCGUGCUUAACACAUGCAAGUCGAACGGAAAGGCCCUGCUUUUGUGGGGUGCUCGAGUGGCGAACGGGUGAGUAACACGUGAGUAACCUGCCCUUGACUUUGGGAUAACUUCAGGAAACUGGGGCUAAUACCGGAUAGGAGCUCCUGCUGCAUGGUGGGGGUUGGAAAGUUUCGGCGGUUGGGGAUGGACUCGCGGCUUAUCAGCUUGUUGGUGGGGUAGUGGCUUACCAAGGCUUUGACGGGUAGCCGGCCUGGGAGGGUGACCGGCCAAAUUGGGACUGGAAUACGGCCCAGCCUCCUACGGGAGGCAGCAGUGGGGAAUAUUGCACAAUGGGCGGAAGCCUGAUGCAGCAACGCCGCGUGCGGGAUGACGGCCUUCGGGUUGUAAACCGCUUUCGCCUGUGACGAAGAGUGAGUGACGGUAAUGGGUAAAGAAGCACCGGCUAACUACGUG
rnacentral:rRNA from 1 species